rnacentral:misc_RNA from 1 species
AAACAGGUCUCACAACCUGAGUGGAUUGCUGAGUAGUGACAACUCGGGCGUGUUGUCCACCAGGAAGUGCCCGAUUAACACCAGCUUGUGAACUUCCUUGCUUCAGGGCUUCCCAUCUAUCCCAAGUAGCUGAUUGGGACGGACCUUGAGACUGGUUCAUCGGAUAGGGUGUUCUCAUGCUGGGACUUUGACGGCCAACAGAAUGUUGAGAUGGUUGAACAUGAGGAAGAGAACGCUUCUGCGGUAAUGCUGAUGAGGUCAUGCGUGUCUGAACCAGG